GGGGCUGUAGCUCAGUGGUAGAGCAUUUAUCUCGCAUGUAUGAGGCACUGGGUUCCAUCCUCAGCACCA
rnacentral:tRNA from 1 species